AUUGGACGCUGGCGGCAUGCCUUACACAUGCAAGUCGAACGGUAACGGGCCUUCGGGUGCCGACGAGUGGCGCACGGGUGAGUAAUACAUCGGAACGUGCCCGAUCGUGGGGGAUAACGAGGCGAAAGCUUUGCUAAUACCGCAUACGAUCUACGGAUGAAAGCAGGGGACCGCAAGGCCUUGCGCGGACGGAGCGGCCGAUGGCAGAUUAGGUAGUUGGUGGGAUAAAAGCUUACCAAGCCGACGAUCUGUAGCUGGUCUGAGAGGAUGAUCAGCCACACUGGGACUGAGACACGGCCCAGACUCCUACGGGAGGCAGCAGUGGGGAAUUUUGGACAAUGGGCGCAAGCCUGAUCCAGCCAUGCCGCGUGCAGGAUGAAGGCCUUCGGGUUGUAAACUGCUUUUGUACGGAACGAAAAGCCUUCUUUUAAUACAGGAGGGUCAUGACGGUACCGUAAGAAUAAGCACCGGCUAACUACGUG
rnacentral:rRNA from 1 species